rnacentral:rRNA from 1 species
UACGGAGGGGGCUAGCGUUGUUCGGAAUUACUGGGCGUAAAGCGCACGUAGGCGGCUUUGUAAGUUAGAGGUGAAAGCCUGGAGCUCAACUCCAGAAUUGCCUUUAAGACUGCAUCGCUUGAAUCCGAGAGAGGUGAGUGGAAUUCCGAGUGUAGAGGUGAAAUUCGUAGAUAUUGGGAAGAACACCGGUGGCGAAGGCGGCUCACUGGCUCAUUACUGACGCUCAGGCGCGAUAGCGUGGGGAUCAAACAGG